UAUAAUAUGAUAUACACUUACAAGUCUAUAUACACGAUGCGGAAAGUUUCUUUUGCAAUAUUUUAUUGAUAUUACAUAUGUUGUAUAUUAUUAUUAUUAUUAUUUGCAGUACUCAAGUUAUCUAAGAGUAACAGAAAUGCAUGUUCUAAAAACUCCAAUUAGAAAAAAAAACGUAUAUAUUUAUACAAGGUAAUCCAUUUACCACG